GGUUAGGAACCAGGUGCUAUAAUGCACCAAUGCUGCUUUCUGAUGAUGACGGCAAUGCCAAACGCACCAUCACCUGAGGACCGCCUUCAAGAGCAUGCUGAAGAAUCACAACAAAAACUCCCCCAGUGAUAGUGCCACUCCAUGAGAGAUCCAUAUCAAACUGAAACUCAAUUUCCUCGCAUUAGCCAAAGCAUGCCAUCACAUAUUCUUUGCUGUUGUUGUGGAACUAUUUCAGUAUGGUUUUCAAACAUGACGUAUACAUAUCCAAGGAUGAAGAGAAGAAGAAGAAUUGGGAUUGUCAAUUGUGUAUUUGCAAUUGUACAGAUCCGAGGUCUAUGCGAUUGGCGGGGAUGGAACCAUGAGAGGAGCAGUGGCGAUAUUCAAAGAGUUUAAACAGCAUGGUUUGAGGAUAUCCAUUACAUGGAUCCCAAAAACUGUGGACAUUGGCAUCAUAGACAAGUCGUUUGUGUUUCAAACUGCAGUGGAGAUUACUUAGCAUGCGAUCAACCGGCACAUGUGGAGGCUGUGAGCGCUGUGAAUGGCAUUGGUUUUGUCAAACUUACGGGAAGGAGCACAUGACACAUUACUCUUCAUGCCACCCUGAGCAGCCGAGAUGUUGACUUCUGUGAAUCUUGAGAUUGAUUUCCACGUUGAAGGAAAGGGAAGCCUGUUUGAGUUCCUGUAUCGAAGGAUAAAGAAGAAGGGGCAUAUGUUGUGGUCGUUGUUGCCGAAUGCGCUGAUCAAGAGUUAAUACCCCGGACUGAUGACCCAACAGAGUUAACUUAAUCUGAACCUCCUCUGUUUCCGCUAUAUAUCCCUAUUUUUCUGAACUUAACAACCGAACAGCAUUAUAUAUUAGAUCAGCACACAAGUGAACUGGAAAUCAUUUUAUUCAGAUUGUUGGUACCCUCGGUGUAAAAUUAUUCCUUAUUGGUUGGGGAUUUGGAGACGUAGUAUCUGGUUGAUGAAGGAUUUUUUAUCUCCUAAGCUCCACACAUUCUCUUCCAUCUAACACAACCGGCACGGUCAAGUGGUGUAGCAGUUGACGGUCGACAGCUAAAAUCAAGGCACCGUCUUAAUUUAGGCGGAAAGACCACAACUCUUCCAUCUACACCAGAAGGAUUGGGAAAAUAUUAAAUUUGGUGUGAAGGCGGUGUUGAUUUCUAUGAUGUUUCGUUCGUGAAGGAUGCCAAUGUUAUUCAUGAACUCAAGGACUUCAGGAAAAGUGCUAAUGCGGAUAUACAUUUCAUUCUUGUAAUCGAGAGGGCUGAUUCAACUCCAAACCUGUGGUCAAUUAUUGCUGCUUCGGAUGGGAUCAUACGUGUGGCGUCGACUAAGACCGUAGUCUGAUCAUACAAGGCCUUAUUGAUUGUUGAUUCUACUUCCAUAGUCUGAUAUAUUCGAGGGGCAGCCAAGAUCAGGCAAGAGGACGAUGUUUUGAUUGUUUCGACAGAAAUUCUACUGGCUGAAGCUCAAAGACCGAAGCCCCUAUCCCAGUGUUGAAAACUUCAAUCAACCCAUAGCUAAAGCUAGAAUCAAGUAGAGGAGUGGCUACUCUGAAAACUCUUGUUCUGAUCACUUCCAGGUAAUUGGCUAGGAUUCGUAUCGUCCCUUUCCAGCUAUGACGGAUGGUAUACUGCAUACUAAUGAGGAUAGAUGAUUUAUGUUGAUGAACUAUUUUAGAUAGUGACACCGAAGUGUUAUUCUAUGGAUAGCCUUCAGAUGUUCUUUUGCAUUUUUCCUGUGCAAAGAUAUAUAUUAACGAACAAA